CCAAACACUGACCAAACUCCAGUCUGGGCAGCCAGCAGGGCCCAGUGUGGCCUUUCGGCUUCCUUUGGCAGCUCUCGAGGUCUCGGGGCACCAACCGGGGUCUGUCAGGUCAUGCCUGCAGCCCUAGCCCACCCCACAGGGACCCAUGCCUCCCACCUGAGAGGACAGCCCUCUUCCUGGAGCUGGGAUCUGUCACUGGCUGGUACCAACAGCAGAUAUCAGGCCUGGAGUGCUGCAGUCCAUGGGGUUGCAGAGUUGGACACGACUUGAUAACUGAACAACUACUGCCUAUUAUUACUACUGCUCACAGCUGACGGAUUUGCAGAAGACCCUUGGACCCAUCCCCUGAUCUACAGAGCUGCCCUGAGAGGUAAGCAGAAACAGCAUUACUAAUCCUAUUUUUCAGAGGAGGACCUGGAGGCCAGAAUGACAAAGGAAAUUCUACCUAUCACAGUAAGAUAGUUAAAAUAAAAUCCAUCUUCCAAACAAGGAAGGAACCUGCGUCCCUAUAUGAAAAAGAUAAAUUCUUCUGACAUUUUGGUUUUGUUUAUCAUACCAGCUCGUGUUGUCCUUACUAAUGUAAUGCCUGGGUUUGAAUCCUAGCUCUGCCUCUGGUAGUCUGGGGGGGGUAGGUUAUUUAAUUUCUUUGAGCCUUGGUUACCUCUUCUGAGCAAUGGGUAUGAUGACAGUACCUACUCAGUGGGCAGUUGUAAGGAUUAAGGGAAGUAAUUUUUAUGAAGUGUUUAAAACAGUGCCUCGUUCAUCCUAUGUGCUAUAUGUGAGAUAAAAUAAUCAACAAAGCCCUACUAGAUAGCACAGGGAAUUCUACUCAAUACUCUAUAAUAUCCUAUAAUAUAUAUGUAUAUACAUAUAACUGAAUCUCUUUGUGCUACACCUGAAACUAACACAACAUUGUAAGUCAACUAUACUCCAGUAUAAAAUAAAAAUUUAAAAAAGAAAGAGAAAAAAUAAACCAGAGCUAGAGAAUGACUAGACCAAGACCCAUAUCCAAGCCUUCUGAUACCAAGUUCAGUAUUUGACCCCAAAGCCCCAAACAUUUUCAUUCCUUUUAUGAUUUUUAUUAUAUCUGCCCAUCACGUCUAUUUCACUUAUCUAUAAUUAUUUACUUGAUAGUUUUCUUUCUUUUGAAGAUGUACAUUAAUCUUUUAAAUAAUAUUUUAUAGUAGUGCUUUAGUAUGCUAGUUAUACAUGUUUCUAACAUGCGGUAAAAAUAAUAAGAUUUAAAAGUGUUUGCCCAUGUACUACCCAAAAUCAGCCCUUGUUCCCUGUGGGGACACUUAAGGAAAAAAUAUGCUAUUUUUAGAUCUAUAAAGAACAUUUGAGAACAUUCUGUCCAGUGGCUUUAAACCCUUUUGACCAUGACUCUUAGUAAGUAACACAUUUUACAUCACAUACUUUAUAUACAGUGGCAAUAAAGGUGGUAGUCAAAACACAGACUCUGGAGUCUGCCUGCCUGGGCUGGAACCUCAAUCAACGUCACCUCUUAAGGCAUCUGUCACUUUCGCCGAGUGACUCAACCUCUCUGUGCCUCCAUUUACUCAUCUAUAAAAGGAGAAGGACAAUAAAAGCCCCUCCCUCACAGAGUUAUUGUGAAGAUAAGGCAUUAAUAUGUGGAAAGCCCUAGUAUGUGAUCUAUGAAUGGUUGGUGUUAUCACGAUCACACACGCAUAUCCAGAAGCAUGUAGAAAAGAACAAAAGUUUCACACACACAAAAUCUCCUAUACAUGAGAUGCACUAGGCCGUUUUUCUAUUCUACUUCAUUUUAAAAAAAAAGUCAUGCUUUUUAAAUUUCAUUAACCUAUUUGUGAUUUAUUAUUCAUGCUCUUUGCUGGGUGAACAAUAUACUUCAAUAAACAUAUUUUUCAACAGUACAUUUUUACUCAGAGAAAAAGUAAGAAAUGAAAAUGAAAGAAGUCAGUUAAUCAUGUGAACAUCAGAGGUCCGAAAUUACUGUAUCCUGCACAGUGAGGGUAUAUGAACAGAUUCGGUGUCCCUGACAGCAUAGAUACUGCUGGUCUUUAUUUCUUUUUUUAAAAAAUUAGAAAACAUUUUUCUUAAUUUUUUACAGUUUAAUAUUGAAAUAAUCAAUUCUAAUAAACAUGAAAUAUUAGAUACGUAAAAUUUAUCUUAUAGAGAUACUUUAGGAUUUUUUAAAUCACAGAACAAAAAGGUUUUGUAUGAUUUUAUUUAUUUAUUUUUUGGUUUUGUAUGAUUUUAAAGGGCAUAUUUUAUAUUCAAAUUCCAAAAAUGGUCUGAACAUUUCUUUCUAAACUACGAAUAGAUUUGUUCUGCUCAUCCGUAAUGUCUAAUAAAGACUAUUGGAUUGUACUCUAGGAAUUAUAUAUGUGGAGCUUCCCAAGUGGCGCAGUGGUAAAGAAUCUGCCUGCCAAUGCAGGAGACAUGAAAGACGGGUUUGAUCCCUGGGUGGGGAAGAUGCCCUGGAGGAGAGAAUGCUACCCACUCCAGUAUUCUUGCCUAGAGAGUUCCAUGGACAGAGGGGCCUGGCAAGCUACCGUCCACAGAGUCACUAAGAGUCGGACAUGACUGAGCAUGCAUUCCCCAGUCUUUUUAGGAACAAGAAAAAUCAUUUGUGAAACAAUCAGAAAAAUCCCAAGAUACUGUGAAUAAAGGGUGGAAUUAGCUGCAGUCAAAUGUUAGGUAAAAUAAGUGCUGUGUAUGGCCAGGCUCUGGGUCUGUGCCUCUGCUGUCCCCUUCCCUCUCUCCUCCCGGCUGACUCCUGCUGAACCUUCAGGUUUCAGCUUAGAUCUCAGUUCCCUCCUCCACGGUCAAGAGGCGCCUGACCCCUUCCCCUCUUCCUAAGCCCCUUGUGCUCCCAUGGUGCCCUAUUCACCCCUGUUAUGGCACUCUGUUUUUGAUUGCUGCUGGAUCAUCUGUUUACCACCACCACCCCCCAAACUGGACACUCCCCAAGAUCUGAAGCCACACUUUAUAGUCUCCUACAUUACCUCAGUGCUUAGCAGAAUGCCUUGCAUACCAUAAGCCCGAGGAGUCAUUUGUUGAAAGAAUGAAUGAGUGAGCAGGAGCCUUCUGGAUGGAGACAGAAUGCUCUCUGAGUAUCCAUAUCCUCUCUUUAUAAAAAGGGACAAAACAAAGCCAUGGUUUCCAAACUCUAGCUGACCCAACAGCCAAAAUCACUUAAGGCACUUAACAAAAAUUUAAAGGUUCUUGGAACUCUUUCCAGGAGAUUCUGGUUUACCAGGCUGAAAUGGAGCCCCAAGGUGUCAGCUUAAGAAAUUUUUCCAGGGGCUUCCCUGGUGAUCCAGUGGUUAGGGCUCCAUACUUCCACUGCAGGGGGCAUGGGUUCAAUCCCUGGUCAGGGAACUAAGAUCCCUCUGGCCACACUGCACAGCAAAGAAAAAGAAAAGAAAGUUUCCCAUAAGCAGCAAGAUUUGUAAACCAUUGAACCAGAGGGGCUGAAAUCAAAUUGAGGUGGGACAGGAAGAUAACAUGGGGAGAAAAACAGGAAGGGAGGGGAGACUAUAUUUAGGGAAUGAAGGGUGGAAACAGCCAUGUUUGGUAUCAGAUAUAGUCCUGUAGCCAACCAGCAUCUGGGGUUCUACCCAACUUUGGGCUCAUUAACCAUUCAGGGAGACAAAGCAUUUUAUAGUUUAUGAUACCUUUUCUUCUUCAUGAGCUCAUGGAGUCUUCACAACAACCAAAGUUCACUUGGUUGAUGAAGAAAUUGAUGAUCAGAGAGCUGGGCAAAGUGUCUGGCAUCACACAGCUUUAAGUGGGAGAUUCACUUAAUCAAAUGUUAUCUCCUCUGACAACAGCCUCUAAUCUGGCCUGAGACUGAUGCAUUAGUCAAAGGAACUAGGCCUACUGCCCCGAAGGAGGAUUAUUGACCAGUGGCCAGUCACUGUUGGUCUCUUUACUUGCAGAUACUGCUACCCCAACACAGCCCACCUCAUCCAUCUAUAUAUCCAUCUAUCUUUUCAUCUACCCACUCACCCAUCACCUCCUUCAUCCAUCCAUCCAUCCAUGUACCUUUCUAGUUAUUUAUUCAUCUAUUUACCACAUCCAUCCACAUAUCUCUCCAUUCUUUCCAUUCAUCCACCAUCCACCAUACCCAUUUACCCAUCCAUCACAUCUAUUCAUUAUUCCAUCCAUCCACCUACCCACCUGCCCAUAUUCCCUGUUAUUUAUUCAUUUGUCCCAUUCAUUCAUCUGUCUAUCCAUAUUAUGCCCAUCCAUCCGUCCAUCCAUCCGUCCAUUCGCUAGCCUAUCACAUUGGUUCAUCAAAGCAUCUACCUAUCUACCUAUCCAGGUAUCCAUUUAUUCAUUUAUCUAUUCAUACAUCCACUUUCUCAUUUAUUUAUUCAUUAAGUAAACAUCUAUCAUAAUCUACAUGGGGCCCCGGUCCUGUGCUAACCGGGGGUAUAACAAGAAGAUCAGACAAAUACAGACCUGGCCCUCAAGGAGAUUUGAGAUGCUUACAAGAAUGACAAAGUCCCAAAGGGCCAAAAUAAAUCAUUAAGGGAAGCUUGCUGAAAGCAAAACAAGGGUAGGAAAAUAAUGAAGCCAGGAGUGAGGUUAGCACAGAGACAUAGCAUCUUAUCCUCACAGUUGCUAAGGGCAGCCCCAAAUUUGGCGCUGAGCUAGAUGCUGAUACCCAAAACAAAUACUACCACACAAGUCACAGUACAUUCAUCUCUGGCAGAUCCGAAUCAGCUGCUAUUCCUGCUUCCUUGUAACAGUGGUGUUACAUGUGCCCAGGACACAUUUGGAAAUGGCAGGAGACAUUUUUGGUUGGCACAACUGACAGGCAGCAUGCUCCUAGCAUCUAGUGAGUUGAAGCCAGGAAAGCAGCUAAACAUCCUACAGUGCACACGUCUCUUUACAACAAAGAAUUAUCCAAGCCAAAAUAUCUGUAGUGUCGAAGCUGAGAAACCCAUUACAAGGGAACUCCAAUUUGGUUUGCAGCAGCAUUGUGUCAGACCCCAAGAAAAAACCACCCUUGGUCUAAGCCUGUGCUGGCUUUCCCAUUUCUUUCCACUAGACACUUCCCAACUUUCUUUGAACUAAGGAAGUCUGCUGGGAGAUUUUCGGGAAAUUUUUGCUUUGGGGGAAAAUCAGGCUUCGAGAAAAACCCCUUCCAGCUUCAGACAGACCCCUUUCAGCUCAAGUGCAGACAUGAUCCCUGAUGCUGUGACAGCCACCUUAGGUCUAUAAUGGGACAAACCAAGAAGCAAAAGCCAACAGUGAGGAAGGCAGGGAAGAGGGAAGGGAGGAGCGUGGACCUGGUUGACAUUGCUGACCAUUGUCCUAGGGCUAUUUCUUAGAUUUUCCAUCAGUUCAUUCAUCCAACAAAUGAUUACUUGUGCAUGCGUGCGUCACUUCAGUCGUGUCUGGCUCUUUGUGACCCCAUGGACUGUAUCCUGCCAGGCUCCUCUGUCCAUGGGAUUCUCCAGGCAAGAAUACUGGAGUGGGUUGCCAUGCCCUUCUCCGGGGAUCUUCCUGACCCAGGAAUUGAACCCGCGUCUCCUGAGGCUCCUGCAUUGCAGGCAGAUUCUUAAACGCUGAGCCAUCGAGGAAGCCCAAUUGAUUACCUACUGAGCACUUAUUCUGUGCCAGUCACCAUGUGAGACAGGCAAGGAUGAACGAAGCACUGAGGUCCGUGGCCUCAUGGGGUUUAUAGUCGAGUGGGGGAGACAGACGCCAUGGUGCACACAGUGACUUGAUCAGUGAUGAGAACUACAGAAUAGAAUCCAGUGUGCCGCGGAUGCAUUUUAAGGCCAGGGGAGGGUCAAGUUCGCUUAGGACCACCACACCAAAGACAGUUCAAGAAAGACUCUCCUACUGGGACUUCCCUGGUGGUCCAAUGGUUAAGAAUUCGCCUGCCAAUGCAGGGGACAUGGGUUCAAUCCUUGGUCCAGGAAGAUUCCACAUACCUCGGAGUAACUAAGCCACAAUGACUGAAGCCUGUGUUCCACAAGAGAAGCCACCUCAAUGAGAAGAUCGCACAUUGCAACGAAGAGUAGCCCCUGCUUGCUGCAACUAGAGAAAGCCCACACACAGCAAAGAAGACCCAGCAUAGCCAAAAAUUAAUAAAGAAAAUUGGGGGAGGGGGAAACCUAUCCUACUAAGGUUCAAAAAUGUGAGACAGCAUUUGGGAUUGAUUUCAUGCUUAUUCUGGGUCAGGUGCUAUUCUAAGCACUUGUAGAUUCAUUCAUUCCUGUGAUCCUAACCACAGCCUUGCCCUCCAUCACCUCUCCCAAAGUUCUGCUGUGAACAAUGUUGCUUACUCAGCAACUUACCUUUGUGAUUGCAACCUUUAGAGACUAUUAUUAUCCCCAAUGGAGACUUUCAAAAGAAAGGAUUUUAUUCAAAGUACUUUUUUGUCUUUAAAAUCAGUAAGUGCAUCUUUCCCAGAGCCUCACAGCAGACUGCCCACAUUUAGUUUACAAAAGAAAUGUCUGAGACUCAGAAAAAGGUAGGUUACACAGCUUGGGGGGGAUGGGGGGGGGGGUGUGGAGGCAGAUCCAGAAUCUAACCCAGAUUUAUCUAAAAAGCCAGAUCUUUUGGUCAAUGUCACACAUACACACACAAAUACACACAUCAGCAAAUGCCCAAUCUUUUGCAGGACAGCAGUAUUCUCUUGUUGAUGCCUGCUGCAAACCUGGGCAUGGGAGCCCUCCUUUCUCUGCCCAGCUAUACCUGUGGCUGAGCUAAGAGGGUUCAGGACAGAUGGACGAUGUCAGGUCUGGAGUCAGAUGAUUUUUUAAAAACAAUUCUAAACAUUAGUUUUCACUUCUAUCCUUAGAGAUAAUAGUGUUAUUUAUCUGAGACAAGUGUUUUGAGAAUUAAGUGCAGUAAUAGGAGUAGAACAUCCAUCCAUCCAUCCAUCCAUCCAUCCAUCCAUCCAUCCAUCCUUGUCUGACCAUUUGGGAGACUAGGAGUCUUCCUCCAGCCACAGGAUCAGCCAAGUCUCACAAUUGUGUUUUAACCUUGAAUGAAGCCCCUCAGGCAUGCCCAGCCCUUUAGCUGUGCAAUCUCUUCUGGCCACCACCUCCUGUGUGAUAGGUCCUGUUCUCUCCUUUUUACAGAUGAGGAAAUAGAUUGAAAGAUGGGAAGUCACUUGCCCAAGGUCACACAGCCCUGCGGGAUAGGUCCCCAGGUGGUUUUUUUGGUUCCUCAGCCUCAGCUAUUUCCACUGCAUCUCAGACUGCUGCUGGAUGAUGGGUCAAAGGGCUAAGAUUCCCUUGGACCAGGCAAGAGAACAGUCCCUGAUUCCUUGGUCAUCUUCUCUCAGCUCAUGAUGAUAUCAAGUAACACUAACUGUCCUUAGAAUGUACGAGGAGACGAGGGCUUAGCGGGAGGGCUCACACCCUCGCCUUCCUUUAGACCUGCAGGAAGUCCCUAAAACACCCUCUGUCCACUUCAGCGAGAAGGCAGCCAAGGCCCAGAGAUGAUGAGCAAUUUGUAUAAAGUCACGGAACAAGAGCCAAGAUCUACUGGAUUUUCAGAGGCCAAGCUCUGCACGUGCGUGUGAUUGAAUCAGGUUGUAAAAUUCACCUACUUUUUGAAAAUCCAAAAUGUGCAAAAAAAGUGAAAACAAACGUUUACCUGAACUUCCUUCCUCCGAAAAACAACGCUCUGUUACAGGUUUCUUUGUAUCCUUCCGCUAAUUUUCUACACAAACACAAACGUGUGGGUACAUACAUAUGCGUAUAUCUGUUCUGUUAUCAGAAAUGUCAUAUGCUAUAGUCUCUUCAGCUUACUUUUUUUUUUUUUCACAUAAUGCACUUGAAGGUCCUUCCCUAUUUGUACACAAAUCUGGAUAUUUUUUUUUUCUUCAGCAACGGGAUAAUAUUUCAUCCUAAAGAGGCAUCAAGUUUUAUUUACCCAUCCGCUACUGCCGGACAUUUGAGGUUACCUCCGAUUUUGGAGUUACACGCCGAACAUCAAAGCCCCCUGCCCUUCACCGUCAGCGGACACACUCUCCCCUCAUCCCGCAUCUAAGUCACACACUUACAGCAAAGAUGAUUUCCGUUUUCCACUGCCCCGCCCUGUGCGUUGCUUUCUAUGGCUUUCCCUUGCAGAAUGAUCCAGAGCUGAUGGCCCUCGGGGCCAGCCAACACUCCCCUUGGGUCGCAUCCCACCUAGAUCCGAAGCCAGCUCGGAGGCCGAGGCCCCGCAAGCCUCUCUGCGGGCUUCAAAGCGGGGACAAUGCUUUAGCCCCACGUUUAGUGGAAUUUCAGAAAUACUCCCGGAUGCAUCCCUAGGAAGGCAGUCUCUCUGGGCGGGCUAAGUGAGCCGAGCCCCUUCCCCGGGGCUCCCGCGGCCCCUCCGAGCGCUUCCCACACAUGGAUACGCCAGGCCUCGGUUUAGGAGCUUAGUCAAGAGGUCACUCGCCUCCCAGGGGCCAUUCUGGAGAAGCCCUUUAGGGUCUUGGGGGCUAGGAAACACACAGAGGGCCAUCCCAUGCUCCCCCAAACUUAACGGUGGUCCCACCACGCCCAGUCUUCCCCUAAGCCCCAGCUACAGACCCC